ensembl:lncRNA
GAAACAGAGAGAGAGAGAGAGAGAGGGAGGGUGAGAAACAGAGAGAGAGAGGGUGAGAAACAGAGAGAGAGACAGAGAGGGAGGGUGAGAAACAGGGAGAGAGAGAGGGUGAGAAAGAGAGAGAGAGAGGGGAGGGGAGAAACAGAGAGAGAGAGAGAGAGAGAGGGAGGGUGAGAAACGUGAGAAACAGAGAGAGAGAAGGGGUGAGAAACAGAGAGAGAGAGGGGGUGAGAAACAGAGAGAGAGAGAGAGAGAGAGAGAGGGAGGGUGAGAAACAGAGAGAGAGAGAGAGAGGGUUAGAAACAGAGAGAGAGAGAGGGUGAGAAACAGAGAGAGAGAGAGGGUGAGAAACAGACAGAGAGAGGGUGAGAAGGGAGG